CCUGCCCCCAACACUACUCCAGCUUCUGCCAGACAGAUGGGACUCUCCAGCAUGAAAAUCUGCGCAACCAUUCCAACAAGUAGGACUGUGCCUGAUGUUGCCCGAAGGAUGCCGAGGAAAAAGACUUCAGGACUGGAAGAGCUCUUACCCAAGAUCGCCCUUGAAGUUAACACAGAGAUAUGGCCCUUUAGGACCAAGCACUCAGCAUUCUUUCGAGACCGAGAUUCCAGAGCAUCAGAUGAACCGACUUAGAGCUAAGGCGUGCUCACCCCCACCCCUUCCUACGCACGCAUCAGCUCGUCCUCACGUGCGUCGGGGUAGUGGACAGUGUUGACUUGAAUUGCUCUCGCUCGCUCCAAGCCUUUCCUGUGAAUGAACCCGAAAACACUCGACAGGUCGUGAAUAAUCGUUUUAAUGAGUGUGCAAAGCGUGCGACGGGGUGCACCGAGCUGUCGGGUUAAACAAACAACUUGUACCCUGACCAAAUCCGAUUGUUAAAGUGCAAAGUGAUGUCAGUACCAUUUCCAUUGCCCUUCAGAAAACCACAGAUCUGACACGCGGGAGUCCAAUUUUCCCCAUUAAAGAAAAAUAACAAUAUUUUCCA